UCCUACGGGAGGCAGCAGUUAGGAAUAUUGCACAAUGGACGAAAGUCUGAUGCAGCCAUGCCGCGUGCAGGAUGAAUGCCCUAUGGGUUGUAAACUGCUUUUAUAUAGGAAGAAACUUUUCUACGUGUAGAGAACUGACGGUACUAUAAGAAUAAGGACCGGCUAACUCCGUGCCAGCAGCCGCGG
rnacentral:rRNA from 1 species